rnacentral:rRNA from 1 species
CGAAUGCUGACAUAAGUAACGAUAAAGCGGGUGAAAAGCCCGCUCGCCGGAAGACCAAGGGUUCCUGUCCAACGUUAAUCGGGGCAGGGUGAGUCGACCCCUAAGGCGAGGCCGAAAGGCGUAGUCGAUGGGAAACAGGUUAAUAUUCCUGUACUUGGUGUUACUGCGAAGGGGGGACGGAGAAGGCUAUGUUGGCCGGGCGACGGUUGUCCCGGUUUAAGCGUGUAGGCUGGUUUUCCAGGCAAAUCCGGAAAAUCAAGGCUGAGGCGUGAUGACGAGGCACUACGGUGCUGAAGCAACAAAUGCCCUGCUUCCAGGAAAAGCCUCUAAGCAUCAGGUAACAUCAAAUCGUACCCCAAACCGACACAGGUGGUCAGGUAGAGAAUACCAAGGCGCUUGAGAGAACUCGGGUGAAGGAACUAGGCAAAAUGGUGCCGUAACUUCGGGAGAAGGCACGCUGAUAUGUAGGUGAAGCGACUUGCUCGUGGAGCUGAAAUCAGUCGAAGAUACCAGCUGGCUGCAACUGUUUAUUAAAAACACAGCACUGUGCAAACACGAAAGUGGACGUAUACGGUGUGACGCCUGCCCGGUGCCGGAAGGUUAAUUGAUGGGGUUAGCGGUAACGCGAAGCUCUUGAUCGAAGCCCCGGUAAACGGCGGCCGUAACUAUAACGGUCCUAAGGUAGCGAAAUUCCUUGUCGGGUAAGUUCCGACCUGCACGAAUGGCGUAAUGAUGGCCAGGCUGUCUCCACCCGAGACUCAGUGAAAUUGAACUCGCUGUGAAGAUGCAGUGUACCCGCGGCAAGACGGAAAGACCCCGUGAACCUUUACUAUAGCUUGACACUGAACAUUGAGCCUUGAUGUGUAGGAUAGGUGGGAGGCUUAGAAGUGUGGACGCCAGUCUGCAUGGAGCCGACCUUGAAAUACCACCCUUUAAUGUUUGAUGUUCUAACGUUGGCCCCUGAUCGGGGUUGCGGACAGUGUCUGGUGGGUAGUUUGACUGGGGCGGUCUCCUCCUAAAGAGUAACGGAGGAGCACGAAGGUUGGCUAAUCCUGGUCGGACAUCAGGAGGUUAGUGCAAUGGCAUAAGCCAGCUUGACUGCGAGCGUGACGGCGCGAGCAGGUGCGAAAGCAGGUCAUAGUGAUCCGGUGGUUCUGAAUGGAAGGGCCAUCGCUCAACGGAUAAAAGGUACUCCGGGGAUAACAGGCUGAUACCGCCCAAGAGUUCAUAUCGACGGCGGUGUUUGGCACCUCGAUGUCGGCUCAUCACAUCCUGGGGCUGAAGUAGGUCCCAAGGGUAUGGCUGUUCGCCAUUUAAAGUGGUACGCGAGCUGGGUUUAGAACGUCGUGAGACAGUUCGGUCCCUAUCUGCCGUGGGCGCUGGAGAACUGAGGGGGGCUGCUCCUAGUACGAGAGGACCGGAGUGGACGCAUCACUGGUGUUCGGGUUGUCAUGCCAAUGGCACUGCCCGGUAGCUAAAUGCGGAAGAGAUAAGUGCUGAAAGCAUCUAAGCACGAAACUUGCCCCGAGAUGAGUUCUCCCUGACUCCUUGAGAGUCCUGAAGGAACGUUGAAGACGACGACGUUGAUAGGCCGGGUGUGUAAGCGCAGCGAUGCGUUGAGCUAACCGGUACUAAUGAACCGUGAGG